CACUUAGGAAUAAAGCCAAUUACAUGAUGGAAUUAUUUUUUUUUCCUUUUCCUUUUCAGGUUUGUAGAAGACCAAUUUACCAAUUUAACACCUGCUGGAAUUCCUAAGGAGGGGAAAAUAUCCCCAAUAAGCAGCUGGCAAGGUAUAUUGACUUUUAGGAUUGAAAUACAUCCAUUGGAGUGUAAUAACAUUAUUACUAGUCUUGGUCCUGUACAAAUUCAAAUCUAUGAAGACGUGACUACUUUUCAGUUGAGCAUUAUAAUUCGCUUAUUUCUAACAACUGGCUCAGAUGAACUAAUUAGCAAUACAAGUCAGCAAGUUCCAGAAGACCUGGUAUUCAGCUAAUGAACAAAGUAAACAUUUUUCCAAUAUCCCAAUGAAAAACUAAAGAAAUCGUUACUCAUGUGAC
rnacentral:lncRNA from 1 species